rnacentral:lncRNA from 1 species
UCCAAUCAGACAAGGGACCCAGUGAUGUUCCGUGCAGAGAAUUUUCCCUUUUUCGGGGAAUUUUCAGCCGUCAUUUUGAUCAAAAGAGAAAAAGGGAAUCUUUGCGAUAC